UACUCCUACGGGAGGCAGCAGUAGGGAAUCUUCCACAAUGGACGAAAGUCUGAUGGAGCAACGCCGCGUGAGUGAAGAAGGUUUUAGGAUCGUAAAACUCUGUUGUUGGAGAAGAACAGGGACUAGAGUAACUGUUAGUCCUUUGACGGUAUCCAACCAGAAAGCCACGGCUAACUACGUGCCAGCAGCCGCGGUAAUA
rnacentral:rRNA from 1 species